AAUACAAUGACAUAAUGUGGUUUAUUUGAAGAUGGUACGAAUUUGGAAAAUGACUUCCAUUUCAUUCAAAAACAUUACGAAUUUCACUGUUGUUGCACAGACUUAACUGUCAGUACCAUGCACACAUCUGGUUCACGAAAUUGAAGAACAAUGUCUGUCAAGUCCAAAUACUGACUUUCCAUCAGUAUCUCGUGUAACCUCCCUGCACACAAACAACUGCUUCAAGACGCCUCGUCAUUCCUUGGAUCAAUCUCUGGAUUUGAUUUUGAGGAAUCCUGUUCCAAUCAUCACGCAAAGCAGCAGUCAAUUCAUUGAGAGUCUGGACAGGUGGGUCUCUCUGUCGAACACGACGGCCUAAAAUGUCCCACAGAUGCUCAAUGGGAUUGAGAUCUGGACUCAUGGCUGGCGAUGGAAUGGUCUCAACAGCAUUCUGUUGCAAGAACUGGGUGACAGCAUGUUCUCUGUGAGGCCUGGCAUUGUCAUGCAUGAAGAUGGGUCUUGUGGCUAGAGGAUGAUUAUCAAAAUGGGGGACAACAGCUCUCUCAAGGAUCUCCUGUUGAUACUGAGGCCCAUUAGGUGUCCAAAGACUGGUAGGCUAAUGAGCCCCAUUUCAAGCAGCACGGGGAGAGAGGCAGGCUGCAUGAAAACACUGUGAUAUAUGUCAGUGACUAAUUAUCCCCAUUUCAAGCAGCACGGGAAGAGAGGCAGUCUGCAUGAAAACACUGAUAUAUAUCAGUGACUAAUUAUCCCCAUUUCAAGCAGCAUGGGAAGAGAGGCAGUCUGCAUGAAAACAUUGUGAUAUAUGUUAGUGACUAAUUAUCCCCAUUUCAAUCAGCAUGGGAAGAGAGGCAGUCUGCAUGAAAACAUUGUGAUAUAUGUUAAUGAUUGUAGAAGUGCCACUUUACCUACCACAAAUUAAUAAAAACAAAUUAUAUGAAAUUAUUCCAUUACUUGUAUUUGUUGUUAUUGUUAAAGUUCAUUGUUUAUGAUUAAUAUGUUAUUGGUUAUAAAUCAUAACUUUACGUAUUGGAUUGAAUUAUUCUUAAGAUGUUUUGCAAAUAUUCUUCGUUUACAACCGAAAUGCAGAAAACCAGUUGGAAAUUUGUGAAAAAUAUAUGUUACUGUGACAGAAAUAGUAAAACCAGAGUGUCUCGUCGAAAUAGUGGGUGGUUCUGUGAAUCUCUGUAAAGUGCCUCAUCUAUACGAGGACAGCCACUCCCGAAUAGAUCCUUUACUGCACAAUACAUCCGUCCUGCAUAGCUCAGAGGACUGCCACUCUCAGCUGAGUUUACAAAAUCAAAACUAGCACAGGACAGCGUGGAAUAAAUAUAACUGAUGACUUCCAAUCAUACUUUUUCAUCUCUUUGGUGAAAUUAUUGCACAUUUGUUUUGUUUUCAUCGUUUUAGAAGAGUGACAGACUAGACAGUUGUCAUGGCAAUACUCAUGACGGGUGCCAUUGGUAGGGCUGGAUGUGCUCAUCUCUCAGGAACACCCGAUAGCAUCACUGUUAUCAAUGUGCAUGACGUCACAGCUGUACUUAUUCUAAUUAGCUUUGCCUGGUGCUAGUUUUGAUUUAGUAACCUAGUCUGGGAGUGGCAACCCUCUUUAUGGCGGCCUCUAGCAGGUUUUCAAUACAGUCCUUUUAAUGACUAAACUAAAGAGAUUUUCGUCCUCGGUUACCUACCAUUAAUAGCAAGUUUCCAACAGAGCCUUUAUAACGACUAAAUUAGAGAGAUUGUCGUCAAUAUCUAUCAUUAAUUGUAGCAUGUUUCCAGUAGCUUGUUUAAUGACUAAAUUAAAGAGAUUAUUCUAACCUACCUAUGAUUAAUUGUAGCAUAUUUCCAAUACACACUUUUUAAUGACUAAAUUAAAGAGAUUAUUCUAACCUACCUGUGAUUAAUUGUAGCCUAUUUCCAAUAUACACUUUUUAAUGACUAAAUUAAAGAGAAUAAUUGUCGUCAGCUGGAUGCCAAUAACAUUACAACAUGUUUCCAAUAAACCCAUUUUAAUGACAAAAUUAAAGAGAUUAAAUUAAAGACAUUGUCCCCAGCUGUCUACUAUUGCUGUGCAUCAUUUAUUGUAGCAGGUUUCCAAUACAAUUGAUAGGCAAUCAGGCAGCCUGUCUGUUUUCUCUUCUGGUUUUUUUUUACCGUGUCCAAAGACUGGUAGGCUAAUGAGCCCCAUUUCAAGCAGCACGGGGAGAGAGGCAGUCUGUAUGAAAACACGGUGAUAUAUGUCAGUGACUAAUUAUCCCCAUUUCAAGCAGCACGGGGGGAGGCAGGCUGCAUGAAAACACUGAUAUAUGUCAGUGACUAAUUAUCCCCAUUUCAAGCAGCACGGGAAGAGAGGCAGGCUGGAUGAAAACAUUGUGAUAUAUGUUAAUGAUUGUAGAAGUGCCACUUUACCUACCACAAA